rnacentral:rRNA from 1 species
UGGGGAAUUUUGGACAAUGGGCGCAAGCCUGAUCCAGCCAUGCCGCGUGAGUGAAGAAGGCCUUAGGGUUGUAAAGCUCUUUCGCCCGCGAAGAUAAUGACGGUAGCGGGAGAAGAAGCCCCGGCUAACUCCGUGCCAGCAGCCGCGGUAAUACGGAGGGGGCUAGCGUUGCUCGGAAUUACUGGGCGUAAAGCGUACGUAGGCGGAUGCGCAAGUUGGGGGUGAAAUCCCGGGGCUUAACCUCGGAAUUGCCCUCAAAACUGCACGUCUUGAGACCGAGAGAGGUAAGGGGAAUUCCUAGUGUAGAGGUGAAAUUCGUAGAUAUUAGGAAGAACACCAGUGGCGAAGGCGCCUUACUGGCUCGGUACUGACGCUGAGGUACGAAAGCGUGGGGAGCAAACA